UCUUGGUCUUGACCUCUUAUUGUCUAACUCAGUACUUAUACAUGCAUGCCUCAUCACAACAGUGAAAUAGCCUACCACAACUACCAUUAAUGAGCCGGUAUCAGGCCAACCGCCAACAACACCAAGCAAUCUUAAGCCACAUCCCCACGGACCCGCAGCAGUAGCUAAUAUUGGGCCAUAAGCGUAAGCUUGACCCAGCAACAUGAGCCCCAGAGCCGGUUAAUCUCGUGCCAGCGACCGCGGUUACACGACAGGCCCUAGACAACACCAACGGCGUAAAGCACGGCUAAAACCCUGAUUCACCCAUUAGGGGUAAAGACAAGCCAGGCUGUAAAAAGCCAUAAGCCACACCAAACACAAACCCUAUACACCUAAACAAUUUCAACCCGUGAAAGCCAGGACACAAACUAAGAUUAGAUACCUUACUAUGCCUGGCUGUAAUAAAACAGUCAAACAACCAACUGCUCGCCAAAUAACUACGAGUAAAAACUUAAAAUUUAAAAGACUUGACGGUACUUCACACCAACCUAGAGGAGCCUGUCCAAUAACCGAUGAUCCACGAUUAACCCAACCCCCCCUAGCCUAAACAGUCUAUAUACCGCCGUCGCCAGCUUACCUUGUGAAAGGAACAAAGUAAGCCCAACAAUUCUUCCACUAAUACGACAGGUCGAGGUGUAACUAAUGGGCGGGACCAAGAUGGGCUACAUUUUCUAACUUAGAACAAACGAACAGACUAUGAAACUAGAACUGAAGGCGGAUUUAGCAGUAAGCUGAGAACAAACACACCCGGCCGAAACUAACGCAAUGAAGUGUGCACACACCG
rnacentral:ncRNA from 1 species